rnacentral:rRNA from 1 species
CCUACGGGUGGCAGCAGUGAGGAAUAUUGGUCAAUGGGCGCGAGCCUGAACCAGCCAAGUAGCGUGAAGGAUGACUGCCCUACGGGUUGUAAACUUCUUUUAUCAAGGAAUAAAGUCAGGCACGGGUGCCUUUUUGGAUGUACUUUAUGAAGAAGGAUCGGCUAACUCCGUGCCAGCAGCCGCGGUAAUACGGAGGAUCCGAGCGUUAUCCGGAUUUAUUGGGUUUAAAGGGAGCGUAGAUGGGUUGUUAAGUCAGUUGUGAAAGUUUGCGGCUCAACCGUAGAAUUGCAGUUGAUACUGGCAGGCUUGAGUACAGUUGAGGUAGGCGGAAUUCGUGGUGUAGCGGUGAAAUGCUUAGAUAUCACGAAGAACUCCGAUUGCGAAGGCAGCUUUCUAAACUGACACUGACAUUGAGGCUCGAAAGUGUGGGUAUCGAACAGGAUUAGAUACCCGGGUAGUC